rnacentral:tRNA from 1 species
GCAGCAGGUGGCAUAGUGGUUAUAGCUAAUGCCUUCCUCUUGAAGGAUGUGGGUUCGAAUCCCACGUUCUGCUGCU